CGGGUGAGUAACGCGUAGGAAUCUACCUGGUAGUGGGGGACAACAUGGGGAAACUCAUGCUAAUACCGCAUACGCCCUAUGGGGGAAAGCGGGGGGACCUUCGGGCCUCGCGCUAUCAGAUGAGCCUGCGUAGGAUUAGCUUGUUGGUGAGGUAAAAGCUCACCAAGGCGACGAUCCUUAGCUGGUCUGAGAGGAUGAUCAGCCACACUGGGACUGAGACACGGCCCAG
rnacentral:rRNA from 1 species